CAAACAAACACUAAAACCAAACAAACAAAACAAAAACAAAAAAACAUGGUAUUUUCUUGUGUGCAAGUGUGAGAGAGAGUUUGCGUGUAUCUGUUCGUAUUUGAGUGUAAAUGUCUUUCUCUCCCUGAACAGGCAAGAGCUGCUCGCAGUUGCCUCAUCGACACCUUAUUAUUGUCGUCGUCAUCACUCUGAAGCUUUUCUUCUCAGAACCUCUCAGAAUUCUUUCUGAGCCUGAUUUUAAGUUCAAGUCAGCGCCGCCACAAAUGUUCCAAAACGGUUGGAGAUGUCAGAAUGGAGCGAACGCCAGGAGGAGACGGGG